AUUGAACGCUGGCGGCAGGCUUAACACAUGCAAGUCGAGCGGGGUGAUGGUGCUUGCACUAUCACUUAGCGGCGGACGGGUGAGUAAUGCUUAGGAAUCUGCCUAUUAGUGGGGGACAACAUCUCGAAAGGGAUGCUAAUACCGCAUACGUCCUACGGGAGAAAGCAGGGGAUCUUCGGACCUUGCGCUAAUAGAUGAGCCUAAGUCGGAUUAGCUAGUUGGUGGGGUAAAGGCCUACCAAGGCGACGAUCUGUAGCGGGUCUGAGAGGAUGAUCCGCCACACUGGGACUGGAACACGGCCCAGACUCCUACGGGAGGCAGCAGUGGGGAAUAUUGGACAAUGGGGGGAACCCUGAUCCAGCCAUGCCGCGUGUGUGAAGAAGGCCUUAUGGUUGUAAAGCACUUUAAGCGAGGAGGAGGCUACUUUAGUUAAUACCUAGAGAUAGUGGACGUUACUCGCAGAAUAAGCACCGGCUAACUCUGUGCCAGCAGCCGCAGUAA
rnacentral:rRNA from 1 species